rnacentral:rRNA from 1 species
GAUUAGCUAGUUGGUAGGGUAAAGGCCUACCAAGGCGAUGAUCGUUAACUGGUCUGAGAGGAUGAUCAGUCACACUGGAACUGAGACACGGUCCAGACUCCUACGGGAGGCAGCAGUGGGGAAUAUUGGACAAUGGGGGCAACCCUGAUCCAGCAAUGCCGCGUGUGUGAAGAAGGCCUUCGGGUUGUAAAGCACUUUUGGCGGGGAAGAAGAUAUGGUGUUUAAGAGAUGUCAUAUUUGACGGUACCCGCAGAAUAAGCACCGGCUAACUCUGUGCCAGCAGCCGCGGUAAUACAGAGGGUGCAAGCGUUAAUCGGAGUUACUGGGCGUAAAGGGCGCGUAGGCGGUUAUGUAAGUGAGAUGUGAAAUCCCUGGGCUUAACCUAGGAACUGCAUCUCAUACUGUAUAGCUAGAGUAUUGUAGAGGGUAGUGGAAUUUCCGGUGUAGCGGUGAAAUGCGUAGAGAUCGGAAGGAACACCAGUGGCGAAAGGCGGCUACCUGGACAAAUACUGACGCUGAUGCGCGAAAGCGUGGGGAGCAAACAGGAUUAGAUACCCUGGUAGUCCACGCUGUAAACGAUGAAAACUAGAUGUUGGGCAGCAUGACUGUUUAGUAUCGAAGCUAACGCGAUAAGUUUCCGCCUGGGGGAGUAC